rnacentral:rRNA from 1 species
AUCUGCGGCCAUACUAUCCUGAACACACCCAGUCCCGUCUGAUCUCAGAAGCUAAGCAGGUUCAUGCCUGGUUAGUACUUGGAUGGGAGGCAGCUCAGGAAUACCGGGUGCCGUAGCCU